rnacentral:rRNA from 1 species
CAGCAGGCGCGCAAAUUACCCAAUUCUAACAGUUUGAGAGAGGUAGUAACAAGAAAUAACAAUACAAGGCAAUUAAAAUGCUUUGUAAUUGGAAUGAUAGAAAUUUAAACCCUUUUUAAAGUAUCAAUUGGAGGGCAAGUCUGGUGCCAGCAGCCGCGGUAAUUCCAGCUCCAAUAGCGUAUAUUAAAAUUGUUGCAGUUAAAAAGCUCGUAGUUGAAGUUCUGCUAAAAGUAACCGGUCUGCUUUUAAUAAAAGUGGUAUCUUGGUGUGUAUUUAGCAAUGAUGUCCUUUGAAGUGUUUUUUACUUUAUUGUAAUAAAGCAUAUUCAGGACUUUUACUUUGAGAAAAUUAGAGUGUUUCUAGCAGGCCGACGCUUUGAAUACUGCAGCAUGGAAUAAUAAGAUAGGAUUUUAGUU